GGUAUGCCACGUCGACAGUAGCCACGUCAGAGAGAAAGAAGAAUCACGUUAUAUAGCUGCUCGUUGGUAGAAAUCAGAUUAUCGAAAAAAUACUGUUGAAACUUUCUUUUCUUUUCUCUUCUGUUACUUUCCCGGAAUAUCUCAGAGUGUAGAUCCGUCGUUAUAGUCAGAUUACAUUGUGAGUCAAAUAGGUUAGGUGUUUCAUGAACAUUGGAUUUGUGGUUUCGCUUAUAACAAUGACGGCUCCUCUCUACGAAGAGUAAAAAGGAGCUAGGGUUUUGUUUUCUUUUAAAUACACAUGCAUAGUUAACAAUAACAAACGUUUGCUUCCAUUUAAUUUAGUUUCGAUUUAGUUUUGAUGAUUAAUUAGCUACGGACGCGGCUUAGGACCACGAUAAUGAUGCUCUAAUAACAAAAU
rnacentral:lncRNA from 1 species